rnacentral:rRNA from 1 species
UACGUAGGGUGCAAGCGUUUGUCCGGAAUUAUUGGGCGUAAAGAGCUCGUAGGCGGUCUGUCGCGUCGGCUGUGAAAACCCGGGGCUCAACCCCGGGCCUGCAGUCGAUACGGGCAGACUAGAGUGCGGUAGGGGAGACUGGAAUUCCUGGUGUAGCGGUGAAGUGCGCAGAUAUCAGGAGGAACACCGGUGGCGAAGGCGGGUCUCUGGGCCGUAACUGACGCUGAGGAGCGAAAGCGUGGGGAGCGAACAGG